AUGAACGCUAGCGACAGGCUUAACACAUGCAAGUCGAGGGGCAGCACAGGUAGCAAUACCGGGUGGCGACCGGCGCACGGGUGAGUAACGCGUAUGCAACUUGCCUAUCAGAGGGGGAUAACCCGGCGAAAGUCGGACUAAUACCGCAUGAAGCAGGGAUCCCGCAUGGGAAUAUUUGCUAAAGAUUCAUCGCUGAUAGAUAGGCAUGCGUUCCAUUAGGCAGUUGGCGGGGUAACGGCCCACCAAACCGACGAUGGAUAGGGGUUCUGAGAGGAAGGUCCCCCACAUUGGUACUGAGACACGGACCAAACUCCUACGGGAGGCAGCAGUGAGGAAUAUUGGUCAAUGGGCGUAAGCCUGAACCAGCCAAGUCGCGUGAGGGAUGAAGGUUCUAUGGAUCGUAAACCUCUUUUAUAAGGGAAUAAAGUGCGGGACGUGUCCCGUUUUGUAUGUACCUUAUGAAUAAGGAUCGGCUAACUCCGUGCCAGCAGCCGCGGUAAUACGGAGGAUCCGAGCGUUAUCCGGAUUUAUUGGGUUUAAAGGGUGCGUAGGCGGCCUUUUAAGUCAGCGGUGAAAGUCUGUGGCUCAACCAUAGAAUUGCCGUUGAAACUGGGGGGCUUGAGUAUGUUUGAGGCAGGCGGAAUGCGUGGUGUAGCGGUGAAAUGCAUAGAUAUCACGCAGAACCCCGAUUGCGAAGGCAGCCUGCCAAGCCAUUACUGACGCUGAUGCACGAAAGCGUGGGGAUCAAACAGGAUUAGAUACCCUGGUAGUCCACGCAGUAAACGAUGAUCACUAGCUGUUUGCGAUACACUGUAAGCGGCACAGCGAAAGCGUUAAGUGAUCCACCUGGGGAGUACGCCGGCAACGGUGAAACUCAAAGGAAUUGACGGGGGCCCGCACAAGCGGAGGAACAUGUGGUUUAAUUCGAUGAUACGCGAGGAACCUUACCCGGGUUUGAACGCAUUCGGACCGAGGUGGAAACACCUUUUCUAGCAAUAGCCGUUUGCGAGGUGCUGCAUGGUUGUCGUCAGCUCGUGCCGUGAGGUGUCGGCUUAAGUGCCAUAACGAGCGCAACCCUUGCCACUAGUUACUAACAGGUUAGGCUGAGGACUCUGGUGGGACUGCCAGCGUAAGCUGCGAGGAAGGCGGGGAUGACGUCAAAUCAGCACGGCCCUUACAUCCGGGGCGACACACGUGUUACAAUGGCGUGGACAAAGGGAGGCCACCUGGCGACAGGGAGCGAAUCCCCAAACCACGUCUCAGUUCGGAUCGGAGUCUGCAACCCGACUCCGUGAAGCUGGAUUCGCUAGUAAUCGCGCAUCAGCCAUGGCGCGGUGAAUACGUUCCCGGGCCUUGUACACACCGCCCGUCAAGCCAUGGGAGCCGGGGGUACCUGAAGUCCGUAACCGAAAGGAUCGGCCUAGGGUAAAACUGGUGACUGGGGCU
rnacentral:rRNA from 1 species